rnacentral:rRNA from 1 species
UACAGAGGGUGCGAGCGUUGUUCGGAAUUACUGGGCGUAAAGCGCGCGCAGGCGGCUCUUUAAGUCCACUGGUGAAAUGCCGGGGCUCAACCCCCGUGCCCGCCAGGGAUACUGGAGAGCUGGAGACAUGUAGAGGCAAGCGGAAUUCCGGGUGUAGCGGUGGAAUGCGUAGAGAUCCGGAAGAACACCGGAGGCGAAGGCGGCUUGCUGGGCUUUGUCUGACGCUGAGGCGCGAAAGCGUGGGGAGCGAACAGG